rnacentral:lncRNA from 1 species
GCCUACUUAAUCCUUCUCUCAUUUCUUUCCAUUACCUAUUCCUCUAGAAGGAUUCUGACUCUCAGAAGACUGAAUAUCACCCAGUACAGGCAACUGGUAAGACCCGAAGAUAAAAUUCACAGCUGUGUGUGUGUGUGUGUGUGUGUGUGUUAUACACAUUUUGUUGCUUCAGUUUGAUUUAUCAGAUUUAUAACAUAAUCAUUUAUUUUAAUUCUCUGGUC